GACAGAUACAGAGGAGCAGAGGAGGUGCAGAGUCCUGGUGUGGGGAUAGACAGAUACAGAGGAGCAGAGGAGGUGCAGAGGCCUGGUGUGGGGAUAGACAGAUACAGAGGAGCAGAGGAGGUGCAGAGUCCUGGUGUGGGGAUAGACAGAUACAGAGGAGCAGAGGAGGUGCAGAGGCCUGGUGUGGGGAUAGACAGAUACAGAGGAGCAGAGGAGGUGCAGAGUCCUGGUGUGGGGAUAGACAGAUACAGAGGAGCAGAGGAGGUGCAGAGUCCUGGUGUGGGGAUAGACAGAUACAGAGGAGCAGAGAAGGUGCAGAGGAGAUGGGGCC